UUUCACUUUCAACAAAUCAUUAUUAAAGUUAUAAAAUGUACUUGGCAUGUAAUGAGUUUGAAAAUUUUGGAAAUAACAGAAUUUCUUCAAUUAUUGCAUGCUUUCAAUUUCAAUGAACCUGUUUUCGGUUUUGAUAUCCCCAGCUACAAUUACAGCAAUUAUGGUCAUAAAAAACAACCAAUUAUGAGGUCAUUGGAAUACUUUGAUUCGGCCUACCUGUGAUGUAGAGGUCUGCUUGGACACCUUUCAGCACUGAGGUUCCUGAUCCAGCACACACAGCAACGGUGCGCACAAAGGACUCUGGGAAGUAAGCAAAGAGGCCAAACGGAGGUGUCUCAAACCCAAGUGGGACUUCAUUUUCUGCACAGCUGUUGCCACAGUUACCGGCUGGUCUAAAACACUGAGUCGCCCUUGGCCGUGGUCCAACAGAGGAUCCAAAGCUUUCAGUUCCCCCAAAAGAGAAUCUAAUCUUUCAGUCCUGCUUUUGAACUCCACUAUGUGAGUGUGUUUUGAGGUGACGUAGGCCUGACUCAGCACAGAGACUUGACCAUGACCUGAAAAAAAGAGAAACAUAUGAAGGACACUUGUUCAGACUGCAUCAAAUAUGCAGAUAGGGGUGACACAUUUUCUGUUCCAAGUGACUUCUCACCGAGCCCGCCAACCAGCCAGUCGUUAACUCCUCCUCUAACGCUGUCCCAUGAUGUGUGAGGGGAGAAGACAGCCAUCCCAGCCUCCAAAGCACGGAUAACCAGUCGUUGCUUCCAGUCUUUCUGGACCAGACGCUUGAUUGGUUGAAAGAGCGGAGGGUGGUAUGACACAAUCAGAUCACAGCUCACGGCCUCCGCUUCCUCCAUGACGGUAUCCGUGAGGUCAUUGGUGAGUAGGAUGGUUUUCACAGGCCGCGGCUUGCUUGGCUCCACCAGGAGGCCCACAUUGUCCCAUGACUCAGCCAGUGAGAGGGGAGCAAGAUACUCCAACACCUGCACGACUUGAUUUAGAUCCAUGAGACUAGGGGCUGGGCUUUGAUGGUUGUUGUUCGACGUUAGAAGGAUGGCACAGAAAGACCUGGUGGAAACCCGUCUGUCGUUGCGUGAUGUAAAUAUUUUUUUAAGGUUCUUAUAUCCAGUCAAUACCAGGCGAGACCUAUGCGGAUAAACACAACAUUAAAAGCAUUCAAAUAAAUGCUCAUUCCAAAACAGUAAUGCGCGACCACAUGCAAAAGUGCAUAGGUGUUUUUCUGCGUUUAUUUGCCAUUUGUUAUGAGGCAUUGUGGGUAGUCACCCCCAGAAAUAAAUAAAAAAUAUUCAGUGCAGUUUUCUCAGUCAC